UCUCACAGUUUGGACUCAUGGUUUCUUAUUUUAUUCAAGGAGUUAAAAUCAAUUACUAUCAUUAUUGAUUUUGAUGCACAGAGAGAUCCAGAUUUGCCCUAUGGGAACUCCUGCACAGUACUUUCUGGGCCUUAUUGAUGUGCCCCCUGUUCUUUGAGCAUAUACUUCCUUUCUAGCACAGCAAGAUUUUCGAUUCGAGGCUUUUAUACUUUCCCUGUGCCAGGCCUGCAAUCAACCAUUUCUACAAGGGGCUCUAGCUCCCUUCAGAAGACAAAAUUCAAGUGCUUGAGGCUUUGAUCUCUCUCAGUGAAGACAGCCAGAGAGCAUAUCUCCCCAUGAGUUCAUACCAGUGCUGCCAAUGCCAAUCCAACACCACUGGAGUGGUUCUUUUGUCUUUUUUCAUACUUGCUACACUCCUUCCUAACAGUAGGGAGCCUGGCUUCUAUUACUUUGAUAUGCAAGGGUUUACUGAAAUAUAUAGUGAAUAUUUAAAAUUUUAAAAAUUAUUACAAUAAAAGACACAUUGCCAUUAACUCUCCUCAAGAUACUCCCCCUUAUUUUGAACACAAUUAUCCCAUUCUCCUGGCCACUUUCUGAAGCAGUUCUGGAAGUCCUCUUUCAUGAGUGUCUUUCUGAGGUGUGAUUAAAGAAACAUGGUGAAUGCUACUGCUGAGUGCCACCCAACAGAAAGGCCGGCUUGUAAAACCAUUUAGUGUGUUCUCAUUCACUACAUCUGGCACCAUGAGAUUUCUGGCUCUUUCCCAACGUCAAAAUGACCUUGAAAGGUUAAUGUUUUGAAUCAGUUCAGGACAACCAGGCAUCCACAACAGCACAAGUAAAGAUACACAUGAGAGAGGACCUCCAGAACUACUUCAGAAAGUGGCAAGAAUUAUGGGAGUCUCCAGCCUUAAUUGCAAGCUUCCAGCCCCAGCCUGGCUCUUGGAAUGUUCCCCAUGUGGAUGCAGAUCAAAACUCAGCUGGGAGAUUUCUGACCCACCCAUGGCUUCAGAGUUGGCUUAAUCCCAUCCAGCCUGCAGAUUCCACACCUCAGAGCCUGCCCUCACGCUUUCUGGAGUCUAGAUCUGGCAAACAUUUGCUAGAAGCCCUCAGCCUUGGGAUCCUGUUCAACUGAUGAGGAAACUGAAACACACAGAAGCCAAGCAGUAUGGUGCAAUACAUCUUUGGAAGCAGAGACUGGCUCCAAGUCAGUGCUUUGUCAUUUACUAAUUCUGCCACCUUGGAAUGAAUGCUGGGAGGAGACAGCAGCUAGAAGAGUCCUCACAUUGCUUCCCUAGCCUGUGGAUUGUCGGAGAAAGUGUCAAGUAGAAGUCUGGAAACUGUUUCUCACCUACCUCUCCUCUGCCCAGAAAGCAUAGCAAAGACAACAGUGCAUCUGCUGGAGACUUGCAGAAAUGGAUGCCCACAUCAAAGAUGGAAGAGACGUGGGGCAGUCCUUCCUGUUACAUCCCCUUCACUUGCAUUUUGACUGGUGCAGAAACCAGAUGGGUCCUAGAGAAUAAAGCCUGUUCUCCUACACAUAAUCACAAGAUGAUGCUGAGAGAAGCUGCCGUUCACCUGUCCUACUGGAGGAAGUCACACAGACCUGACACCUCGUCUGGAGCCAUUGGCUGAGAAAAUAUUUUCUUUCCAUUUCUAUCAGUAUGGGAAAUCAAAAGUAGCAUGAGGAACAAUGGUAUGCCUUUACUUGUUUUGUCCCCAGAGCCAUGUUACCUCUCCAGUUCCCUGUCAUAAUAGGGCUCAAGGGGACCUCAGAUGAGCUUGAUAUCUCACAGGACAUUGAACUGUCUGAUUAUACUGAUGUCAUUUUGCUAAUUGGAUGGGGUGUUUAGGAAAGUCCUACAAGUGACACAUCUCAGAGAGAGAAAGAUAGAGCCAGCAAAAGCUCAGAAGGUUUUCACACUGGAGUCCAUUUGGUCCAGAAUCAUGUCAGGGUAUCUUUUCUAAAGCCAGAGGUGAGUUGUGGUGCCUUGUACUACCCAUCACAUAAAAAGGGUAUAGCUAUUGGUGAGUCUGUUUGGAUGGGGGGAAUGUACGCCACAUACCACUGUAUUGCUCUGACUCAUUCAUCAGGUAGCCCAUGUAUCAGCUGCCAUUUUGGAGUGGAGUUCGCAGCAAGGAAGAGCCAUGCAGCAGAUUCAGGCCAGCUGCCCUGCCACUGCGCCUUGUGACCCCACAGCACCAGUAGUGUUUGUAGCAGGCCAGGAGGCCAUGUGGAACCACAUACAAGUUCUGGCAAGAGAAUCACAUUGUAGAACCCUAGGAUUUUUAAA